AUUGAACGCUGGCGGCAUGCCUUACACAUGCAAGUCGAACGGUAGAGGGGGCAACCCCUUGAGAGUGGCGAACGGGUGAGUAAUGCAUCGGAACGUGCCCAGUUGUGGGGGAUAACACUUCGAAAGAAGUGCUAAUACCGCAUACGACCUGAGGGUGAAAGCGGGGGACUCGCAAGAGCCUCGCGCAAUUGGAGCGGCCGAUGUCAGAUUAGGUAGUUGGUGGGGUAAAGGCCUACCAAGCCGACGAUCUGUAGCUGGUCUGAGAGGACGACCAGCCACACUGGGACUGAGACACGGCCCAGACUCCUACGGGAGGCAGCAGUGGGGAAUUUUGGACAAUGGACGCAAGUCUGAUCCAGCCAUGCCGCGUGCAGGAAGAAGGCCUUCGGGUUGUAAACUGCUUUUGUCAGGGAAGAAAUCCUUUGGGUUAAUACCUCGGGGGGAUGACGGUACCUGAAGAAUAAGCACCGGCUAACUACGUGCCAGCAGCCGCCGUAACAC
rnacentral:rRNA from 1 species